AACGAACGCUGGCGGCAGGCUUAACACAUGCAAGUUGAGCGGGAUUAGAUUGGUAGCUUGCUACUGAUUUAUGAGAGCAGCGCACUGGUGAGUAACACGUGGGAACAUACCUUUUGGUGGGGGACAACAGAGGGAAACUUCUGCUAAUACCGCAUAAGCCCUGAGGGGGAAAGAUUUAUUGCCGAAAGAUUGGCCCGCGGAAGAUUAGGUAGUAGGUGGGGUAACGGCCUACCUAGCCGACGAUCUAUAGCUGGUCUGAGAGGACGAUCAGCCACAUUGGGACUGAGACACGGCCCAGACUCC
rnacentral:rRNA from 1 species